ensembl:rRNA 5S_rRNA 5S ribosomal RNA
GCUUACGGCCACACCACCCUGAGCGCGCCCGAUCUCGUCUGAUCUCGGAAGCUAAGCAGGGUCGGGCCUGGUUAGUACUGGAUGGGAGACCGCCUGGGAAUACCAGGUGCCGUAAGCU